UACGUAGGGUGCAAGCGUUGUCCGGAAUUAUUGGGCGUAAAGAGCUCGUAGGCGGCUUGUCGCGUCGACCGUGAAAACUUGGGGCUCAACCCCAAGCCUGCGGUCGAUACGGGCAGGCUCGAGUUCGGUAGGGGAGACUGGAAUUCCUGGUGUAGCGGUGAAAUGCGCAGAUAUCAGGAGGAACACCGAUGGCGAAGGCGGCCUGCUGGGCAGUUGCUGACACUGAGGCGCGACAGCGUGGGGAGCAAACAGG
rnacentral:rRNA from 1 species